rnacentral:RNase_P_RNA from 1 species
GCGAGCGGCUGGGCGGGUCUCGGGGAACUCCUGGGGAAGUUCCUCCCUCCUUCAGCGCACCUGGCGCCGCGAGGCGUGUGGGGAGACCCACGGCAACGCCACAGAAACGAGACCCCUCCACGCGAGAUGAAUAUGAUCCGGCAAUCAAGCCGGCGAUGACGCGUGGAGAAUGGAUGAAACGGGCGACCCAGGGGAGAAAGGCUGGGGCCAAUGAGCAGCGCUGACAAGGCUCCAGAACCGAGAAGACCAAUCCCGCUAAAACAGAAGGAGGGCUACGGGCCGCACGC